rnacentral:rRNA from 1 species
CCUACGGGAGGCAGCAGUGAGGAAUAUUGGACAAUGGGUGAGAGCCUGAUCCAGCCAUCCCGCGUGGAGGACGACGGCCCUAUGGGUUGUAAACUUCUUUUGUACAGGGAUAAACCUAUUUACGUGUAAAUAGCUGAAGGUACUGUACGAAUAAGCACCGGCUAACUCCGUGCCAGCAGCCGCGGUAAU